CCUAGGCCUACCUGUCUGUCGCGUGUAACAACCCUGUUUCAGAUUAGGCUCAGAUGACCUGAGAUGGCACUGCAUGUUUUUUGAGAGAUGCCAAGUCCCAGUAAGCGGUCCAUGGCGGCCAAGAAAAGACAGGCUGCAUUGAAGUCCACAGAGAUGCAGAGUCUGGUGGAAAAUGCACUAGAUGAGCUGGGUUCCAGUGACAAGGUUGGG